GAAAUGAGCAGCCAGGUUUCAGGUGAAAAACGCCAUCCCGUUCCGAGCCUACCGAUUCUUAACCCCAUAACAAGUUUUAACGAAUAUGCAGGCGAGAAGACAACCCAAACUGCACAGUCGUUUUCUGAGAAGUCUACAGGAGCAGCUCCCCAGUGUCAGCACAUGCUCAAGGCAGGGGUAUUUCACAACCAUCCAAUGGCAUCAGAUCAGUGAAGGAGAGAAAAAGACUGAAGCACAAGGUUCAGCAGGUGUCUGCCAGACCCCGCGGUUGCCUUUGAUUUAGCUGCACCGGCGUCUCCACUCUCAGAGGUCUGUCCUGUCAUCCUCUACGAAGCCGAGGUGGGUUUAUGUGGUAACCUGAGCCAGGGCCAUUUCCUGCCCACUGACGACAGCACAUCUGUUAACGCUUGCCGUAGUGACCGCCAAAGCCACAUCAGGACUACGGAGCUGCUGAGCACACACAGAGCAGGAGCUGCCCAAAAGCAAAUGUCCUACAAGUUUCCAAAGUACGAAAAAGGAGCUGUAUUUCCAU
rnacentral:lncRNA from 1 species